UACGUAGGGUGCGAGCGUUAAUCGGAAUUACUGGGCGUAAAGCGUGCAUAGGUGGUUCGUUGUGUCUGUGGUGAAAGCCCCGGGCUUAACCUGGGAAUGGCCAUGGAAACUGGCGAGCUGGAGUGUGGCAGAGGGGGGUGGAAUUCCGCGUGUAGCAGUGAAAUGCGUAGAGAUGCGGAGGAACACCGAUGGCGAAGGCAGCCCCCUGGGCUAACACUGACGCUGAGGCACGAAAGCGUGGGGAGCAAACAGG
rnacentral:rRNA from 1 species